rnacentral:lncRNA from 1 species
GUAGUGUUCCCUUAAUUUCCCGAGUGAGGAAAACUUCUCGGUUGGAGACUUGGAAAAUCCAAGUCACUGAGUGGGAUCGGCUAUAUGAAUCUUAGAACGCCAUUGUGCUCGGUCCUGUGUCAUGUCCUUCGUUAGAUUCAAGUACUCUAAGUCUUUUCUUAGAGUCUCUUCCAAAGUUUUCCUAGGUCUUCCUCUACCCCUUCGGCCCUGAACCUCUGUCCCAUAGUCGCAUCUUCUAAUCGGAGCGUCAGUAGGCCUUCUUUGCACAUGUCCAAACCACCGUAACCGAUUUUCUCUCAUCUUUCCUUCAAUUUCGGCUACUCCUACUUUACCCCGGAUAUCCUCAUUCUGUUGUGCUAGGAUAGCACCAAACCUUAUGGAACCAACUCAAUCUAACCCACAGGAAAUUUAUCAAAUGAAAAUGCAAGAACAAUAUAGAAAAUAACACCAAGAUUUUAACGAGGUUCCUCCACAGUCAGUGUAACUGGAGUACGUCCUCGGAGCAGUAGGAGCUCACCCAAUAAUCCACUAUCAACCAAAUGGGAGUUUACAAAGUGUUGGCAAUCUCACAACCCAAAUAACCCAAUACACCCAAUAGCUCUCACACACCAAAGAAACAAAUAGAGAAGAAAAUAUAAUGAAUAAUUUCUUCUCUAUACAUAUAGCUCAAAGCUAUUACAACAACAAUUACUUUGGUUGAUGAUUACUAAUCAAAUGAAGCAACAACUUCUUCUUUCUUUUGGGCUCUCUACAACUCUCCUUGCUCUCUCAAAGAUGGACUUCUAAAAACUGAAAAUGGUGCAGCCUACCUUUCUCUUUUCUUCUCCGA